GGGAGUCGUUGGAUUAAUGUUUGAUCCAAGAUUUCCUUUUUUUGAUUUUUGUUAAAAAUGGGAUUUUCAUAUUUUGUUUGUGGUCCCGUAUGCAUUUCUUGGAGAGGAAGGAGGAGGAAGCUUCUAGGUUGCUUAUAUAUUUAGGGACUGAAUUUUCUGAGACGGGAAAAAAAAUUGGAGAGAAUAGAAGCUAGGGUUCUCUGAUUUCUUGGUUUGUUCUUCGAAUUUCAAUAGAGUACUCUCUUUAGUGUUCUUUAAUUCUGUUUUGUUAUUUUUUCAUAUAUAUAUAUAUAUAUAUAAAAUUAGUUUCAUCUCAUUCGGAUUUCACAAUCAAAGUCAGAAAAUACAAACAAAAUUGUUAGAUCAUUUCUUCACUAGGAUUCCGAUUCUGAUUGAAGCAUGGAGUUCGACUGAGUUUCUGGUGGUACUUGUUUGAAGUUGUGGUCGCCGUUCGUGGUUCCAGAUUCACUUGUCGCUAUUGCAUUCAUUUCCGUUCGAACUAGCCGACAUCGAAGUUAAUUGAAAUUUUGAACAUCCAGGUUCAUUUCUGUAUUCCUUGUCGAGUUUGGUUUUAGUUAGAUUCGAUCUUCUCCUGUUGCUUGCGGUCUGUUUCAUUUUCAUGCUUGAAUGUACAUGUUUUUAGUCUGCUUCUGUUUUGAUAUGUUGGAUGCUUUUAAUCGUUUGGAUGCGUGAAUGUUUCCGUUUGGCUGCUAGAAAAUAAAAGUAUAGUUCGUCCUUCGUGGUUCCAUUGAAAUUCUCUGUUCGCAUUAUUGAUUUUGGGUACUGAACUUCUGAUUUCUUCAUGAUCUGCUCGUGCAUUUUUGUAUUUGGACGUCACUCACCGCUCAUGAAUUUCUUGAAGUAUCGUCUUGUAGUUCAGUCAUAAUCACGCAUUACACUUCCUAAAUUCAAGAUUAUCAUGUUGUUUUUUCCUUAUUGAAUUUGGUUGCUUAUUGGAAUCGAGAGAAUUAGUUUGGUAUUAAGAGUAAUUUCCCCAAGGAAAAUAUCACUAGAAUGCACUUUAGCGCAACAUAAUCUUCACUGCUCGAGUGGUAGCAUGUGAUGUGAGUCAUUUUUGCAUCGAAGUUUAACUAUUGGUUUGUAAGUGCAUAUUGUGAGUCUGGUUUCAGAGAAUUGUGAUAGUUUGGUGCAUAAGGGUAUAUCUUAAGGGUUUUAUCUAGUUUUAUUAAGGUUUAUAGUAGGAUAGAUACAUUACUUUUGUUGGGAAAUUGGUAGACUCCUGCCUUAAAUCAAAAUCUAAACUAAGAGUGUUAUAAAGCUAUUCCCCUCAUUUGUUUAAUGUAAAUCUGAUAUUACUCUCAAUCUAAAGUAAAAAAUAAUAUCCUUAGUCAUUCCUAAUUCCUUGUAGCGCUAGAAUACAUAUGCUUAGAGGAAAUUAAAUAACCUAUUUAAUUAGUGUUAAAAAUCAAAUUACAAUUGUUAGUUUGCACCAAUUAAGUUGGGUAGGUAUAUGUUGAAGAUUCCCUUUCAUUCGUUUAUGUUACAGUAAAGCGUAUUCAUGGUGAAGUUCUUGUCGACAACCUUUGAUGAUGCAAAAUUUUGCUGGCAUUAAUUCAAUUUUUCUUCCCUUGAUGUUUUAGCUCUCUUUCAUUCAUAAAUCUCGUAGAUAAUCUUGGACGUCUCUGUUGUGCUACACGGUCUACUGAUUUAUAUGUGUUGUUGUUUGUAAGCCUCGUAUAGAGUUGGUUGUGGGGAUGGGGAAGAGACUAGCCCAUUAGCGUUUAAGCUCGUUUGCAUGCUAGGAGUGGGUUUGGUCUAAAAAUAUGAAAAUGAUAAGUCAAAGAACGUGACCCUGAGUUGAAUUUCUUUUAGUUUUUCUCGUAUUUAAUUAUUCCCGUUUUAAUAUUAAAUGCUAGGAGCAUGUUAGGCCGACCAUACUUGGGUAAGCAAGCCUUAGGAUUUUGUUAGUUUGGAGGCGAGAGGUCCUCCCUUAAUUAAAUUUAUCCGGAGAAUGCCCUGAAGGACUUGUGUAUAUCUUAUUCCGGGGAAUACCCCGAAUUACUUGUAUUUGGAGGCCUAAAGUGAAACUCAUAGUAUUUUUAGCUUUAUUUUCCUUUUAUUAGGUGGGAGCGACCUCAGACCUCUUGUGUCCGUUUUCUUUUCUGUGUUUGUUUUUCUCAAUUCGAAUAUUUUAAAAGCCAACUAGAUCGAGUACGCAACCGUGACCUUCACCGGACUUGGGAGUGCCUAACACCUUCUCCCCGAGUCAAAUGAUCCCCCUUACCCAAAUCUCUGGUGCAGAUUUACUUUUGAGUCCAAAGUGUUUCUAAAAGGAAAAAUCAUUUUUUUUAAACCGGUGGCCUGGCACACCGAAAUCAAAUGCCAGGUGCCGACUCUGAGUUAUUUCCUUUCGAAAUAAAUUUUUGUCACUUUUCAAUUGAAAACCUCUUUUCAAACUUUUAUUAAAUCUUUUUAUUUAUAUAAGAGGAUUUAAUGAAGUUUGAUUUUAAAAAGGGGUGUGAAAAGUACGAUUGUGUUUUUCUAGUUUAAAUUUUAGUUUAGAAUAACAGGUUCAGUUAGUUUGCUGCAGUCGUUUCAAUUAGUUCAGUCGCUUAGAGUUAGUUGAUUAGUUCUUAGUACUUGCAGGAUUAGCUAACCUUGGUUAAAGGGGUGGGUUAGAUUAGUCUAGUGAUUUCAAAUAAGUUCAAGGGGUAUUUUGGGUAUUCCAAGAUGGAAAGAAUGUUGUAGGUCAUACUAGAAUAGUUUAGAUUCUUCUAGAAAAGGAUUUUAAUGUAUAUUUUCACAAGUUAAGGGAUUGGCUUUAGGAACAAGUUAGAAAAUAAAGGACCAAAACUGAAAAUGAAUAGGGACUAGAGAAGAAAACUAAAAAUCUGACUUGCAUCUCCCUUUUUGCCUGUAAAAGGGCAUCAUUAUUGCCUUUACACACAAGUUUUGGAGCCUCAAAUUCCCCCCAAAAACCUCUCCAUAAGAUCUGAGUACUGAAAUUCAUAUUUCAAAUCAGCAGAAAUUUAGAACUCCUCUUUAGAUCUUAGAAUUCUAUUGAAAUCCAAAAAAAAAGGAAGAAAAAAUGUAGGAAAAAAAUUCAAAUAUACUGUUUGAUUGCUUUUCCUUGGGUCACCUGUGAAUUCUAGUUUCAUUUCAACUUUCAGCUCACUUCAAAAACCAAAAAAUAGUUCGAAUUCCAUCGCUUCUGUUUGAUACCUGAAGUUUGAUAGAAUUUGAGUCAAUUUGAACUAAAUCUGAUUGGAUGAGUUAACUGGUGUGUCAAUGGCUGCAUCUGUUUUAUUUCUGGAUUCAAUUGCCCGUUGAUUGGGUUAUUUAGAGUUCACUUGACUGAAUGUGGAUGUGCUGGGUCAAUUUUAUGGUUAUUUGGCUUAGUCUCGGGUUAAUUAAAUGAAUAUGCUUGGUUUUUCAAUUCACUUCUGAACUGAUUGAAUCAUGCUGGACUAUUAUUACUCAGUCAUCGAUUGCUUGGGAUUUUUAAUUGGUUUCUGAGUUGCUGCUGAAGCUAUACUGCUGCUAACCACUCAUUUUUCUAUUUCAAUCCCAAUUUCAUGUACACAUUAUGAACUCACCUUGAUGUUGCUUUGAAGUGAAGUUGAAAUAAAAUUUUACUAGACUUAUGCUCAUUUGAAAGCUGUUUGUUGUCUACAAUUCAAUAGGUGUUAGUAUGAUUGAUGUUAGUUAGUUAUUUUGUAUUAUAUGAAGAAUAGAUACAUUUGAACUCUUAAUUUGGACUGUAUUGACUUAUAUACGAUUACACACAAGUUUGCUUGGUUGCAUGUCUAUGUAUCUAGGAAAUGCAUAGAGAAUUUUGUUGUGACGUUUAGACAUUAGAGGUGUGUAUUCGGCGGAUUAUUAUAUUUAACGAUUCAAUUUAUCGAUUAUCAAAUUAUAAAUGCAAUAGUUCGCUAUCCAUCCAAUAAAAAAAUGGACCGAUUGAUAUCGGAUUAACGAUUAUCCGAUUUUUUGGCUAAAUCAAAUAAAAAAAGUUGAACCCUAGUUCUUUUGGUUGCAUAGCUAAGAAUCAACACUUUAACUUCAGAAGACUGAAGUCCAAUUUAGAAAGAGCAAAGGUACAUCAUGAUAC
rnacentral:lncRNA from 1 species